AGCAACGCCGCGUGAGGGACGACGGCCUUUCGGGUUGUAAACCUCUUUUAGCAGGGAAGAAGCGAAAGUGACGGUACCUGCAGAAAAAGCGCCGGCUAACUACGUGCCAGCAGCCGCGGUAAUACGUAGGGCGCAAGCGUUAUCCGGAAUUAUUGGGCGUAAAGAGCUCGUAGGCGGUUUGUCGCGUCUGCUGUGAAAUCCCGAGGCUCAACCUCGGGUCUGCAGUGGGUACGGGCAGACUAGAGUGCGGUAGGGGAGAUUGGAAUUCCUGGUGUAGCGGUGGAAUGCGCAGAUAUCAGGAGGAACACCGAUGGCGAAGGCAGAUCUCUGGGCCGUAACUGACGCUGAGGAGCGAAAGGGUGGGGAGCAAACAGGCUUAGAUACCCUGGUAGUCCACCCCGUAAACGUUGGGAACUAGUUGUGGGGUCCAUUCCACGGAUUCCGUGACGCAGCUAACGCAUUAAGUUCCCCGCCUGGGGAGUACGGCCGCAAGGCUAAAACUCAAAGGAAUUGACGGGGACCCGCACAAGCGGCGGAGCAUGCGGAUUAAUUCGAUGCAACGCGAAGAACCUUACCAAGGCUUGACAUAUACGAGAACGGGCCAGAAAUGGUCAACUCUUUGGACACUCGUAAACAGGUGGUGCAUGGUUGUCGUCAGCUCGUGUCGUGAGAUGUUGGGUUAAGUCCCGCAACGAGCGCAACCCUCGUUCUAUGUUGCCAGCACGUAAUGGUGGGAACUCAUGGGAUACUGCCGGGGUCAACUCGGAGGAAGGUGGGGAUGACGUCAAAUCAUCAUGCCCCUUAUGUCUUGGGCUUCACGCAUGCUACAAUGGCCGGUACAAAGGGCUGCAAUACCGUAAGGUGGAGCGAAUCCCAAAAAGCCGGUCCCAGUUCGGAUUGAGGUCUGCAACUCGACCUCAUGAAGUCGGAGUCGCUAGUAAUCGCAGAUCAGCAACGCUGCGGUGAAUACGUUCCCGGGUCUUGUACACACCGCCCGUCAAGUCAUGAAAGUCGGUAACACCUGAAGCCGGUGGCCCAACCC
rnacentral:rRNA from 1 species